UACGUAGGGGGCAAGCGUUGUCCGGAAUCAUUGGGCGUAAAGCGCGUGUAGGCGGCCAGAAAAGUCCGCUGUGAAAACUCGAGGCUCAACUUCGAGCUGUCGGUGGAAACUUUCUGGCUAGAGUCCGGAAGAGGAGAAUGGAAUUCCUGGUGUAGCGGUGAAAUGCGCAGAUAUCAGGAAGAACACCCGUGGCGAAGGCGGUUCUCUGGGACGGUACUGACGCUGAGGCGCGACAGCGUGGGGAGCAAACAGG
rnacentral:rRNA from 1 species